GACAGAGGGUGCAAACGUUUGUUCGGAAUUACUGGGCGUAAAGCGCGCGUAGGCGGACCUGCAAGUCGGGGGUGAAAGCCCGAGGCUCAACCUCGGAACUGCCUUCGAUACUGCGGGUCUCGAGUCCGGGAGAGGUGAGUGGAAUUCCUGGUGUAGCGGUGAAAUGCGCAGAUAUCAGGAGGAACACCGGUGGCGAAGGCGGGUCUCUGGGCAACAACUGACGCUGGAGGAGCGAAAGCGUGGGGAGCGAACAGG
rnacentral:rRNA from 1 species